rnacentral:rRNA from 1 species
GGAGGGUGCAAGCGUUAUCCGGAUUCACUGGGUUUAAAGGGUGCGUAGGUGGGCUGGUAAGUCAGUGGUGAAAUCUCCAGGCUUAACUUGGAAACUGCCAUUGAUACUAUCAGUCUUGAAUACCGUGGAGGUCAGCGGAAUAUGUCAUGUAGCGGUGAAAUGCUUAGAUAUGACAUAGAACACCAAUUGCGAAGGCAGCUGGCUACUCGGAUAUUGACACUGAUGCACGAAAGCGUGGGGAUCAAACAGGAUUAGAUACCCUGGUAGUCCACGCCCUAAACGAUGGAUACUCGACAUACGCGAUACACAGUGUGUGUCUGAGCGAAAGCAUUAAGUAUCCCACCUGGGAAGUACGAUCGCAAGAUUGAA